UAAAUUUAUAUGCUUAGUAGCACAGGCAAUCGACCCUAAAAAAAUAAGUAGAAAACUAGACACAUCUGCUGGAAUUUUUUUUCCUGAUCAUCUUAUUUUCACCCCCUCUAGUUCUUCCUAGUCAUAGUCUCCCAUCUACACCUUCUCCCUUCUUUUCAAAGGAUCUUUCACUAUGGUAGUCUCUUUGGCACAUUUUCUGUUUGUGUUCUUCAUGGAUUUACAUUAUGUGAGUUAACGACGUUUUUCUAAGCUUUAAUAUGGAACCUACCACAUCUUUUAGGUUUCGGUCAAUGUUCACCAAGAUGUGGCACUACACUAAGAGCUAUAUCGAUUCCCGAAGAGUGCAAACCUUUAGUAUCCCGAGAGGUGCUAAAUUCAGGGAGUUUCAAGACCUUGUGACUCUGAGGUUUGGUAUCAGUGCUGAAAAUACUUAAGUUUGAAUAAUGGAACUCUUAGGCUUGAUGGAUAAGAUUACGACUAUUUAGUUAUAGUGGGACUUAAUAAAAAUGUUUCUAAGAAUAUUGUUGUAAGGCAUGGUAACUAGAUUGUGCUUCACUAAGAAGAAAGAUAGUUAAAACUUU